GUCUAAAAUCACCACAAUCAUCGAUAUCAAAAUAAGUGAGUUCGAAAGUAUAUGGUUGGCCUUCUGAUAGAAGAUAUGAAUAUAACCUAUGUCUAGCUUGUAUGUGCAUCUGUUAGAACUCAUAUGGAUAUGGCUAAAUUUUUAUUUGUAUCUUAUUUGUUUGAAGGUGCUAUGUGAAUCGAUUGGUCCGAUUCAAAUCAAUAUGAUUUGGGGUAUUGUUUUAGAUUGAUUGUCAUUUUGUGUGAUUUUGUUUUGGGCUUUUCUGCGCCCA
rnacentral:lncRNA from 1 species